rnacentral:tRNA from 2 species
GUCCGAGUCGCCAAGUGGAAAGGCGUUGGUCUGCAAAACCAACUAGCGCGGGUUCGAUUCCCGCCUCGGACU